CUAAAAUUGGAAUGAUAAGAGGAAGAUUAGCAUGACACCUACACAAGUUGACACACAAAUUCAUGAAGCGAUCCAUAUUUAA
rnacentral:snRNA from 1 species